UCCCUCGUAGUGUAACGGUAGCACACUCGGCUCAUACAUAUGAGGUCCACGGUUCGAGUCCUGGCGAGGGCA
rnacentral:tRNA from 1 species